rnacentral:rRNA from 1 species
UAGGGAAUCUUCCACAAUGGACGAAAGUCUGAUGGAGCAACGCCGCGUGAGUGAAGAAGGGUUUCGGCUCGUAAAGCUCUGUUGUUAAAGAAGAACGUGGGUAAGAGUAACUGCUUACCCAGUGACGGUAUUUAACCAGAAAGCCACGGCUAACUACGUGCCAG